UGAGGCUAACAGGGCACAGAGAUUAGGGGAUUAAGAUGAUACAGGGUAUAUUUACUGAGCAGAAAGGUCAUGAAAGAACCAUGUGACUGUAAUCUGGUAACAGUCAGUAUUCUGUAAAGUUCUGAUCACCACACUACAGCAUUAGGGAGAAUGCAGAGGAGAUGAUGACGGACAUUUCCAGGGAUAGAGAAUUACAGUUACAAGGGAAGACGAGAUCCUUGAAAUAAGGUGAAUGAAAGCAUCAACUUCCUCUUGUUAGAGGGGUCAAUAAACAUCACAGAUUUAAGUGACAGGAGAAUUAGAGGGGGGGUUUAGGAAAAAGUGAUUUGCUGAACUGAAAAGCAGGGCCUGGAUCUCACUGCCUUAAAGGAGGACAAACGAAGAAGUGUUUGGCUGAGUGGUGUAAAGAGCUGUGAAGACACACGAGACUGCAGAUCUGCACCAAAAAAAAACAAACUACUGGAGGGACUCAGUUCAGGGAGGAUCAGUGGAGUGAAGUGGACAGUCGAUGUUUCAGGUUGAAUCCCGAGAUCAGACUUAAAGAGCUGCAACCUAUAAUGCCGCAGAAUGAGAGUUAGAAAUUGGAAAUAAUUCGCCCACUCCAGAUUCAGAAGGUAAAGGAUCAUCGAAAGCAAUAGCCUGUAACGUCCCCCUGGACUUGGGGGCAAUUCGAUGCAGCAGAAACGAGUUAUGAAGAGACAGUGGGCCCAUCGGCAAGAGUGAGGAAGACCCCAGGUUCCAUCGAUUUAAACGCCGGGCCAAAUUGGAAAGGUCAGGUACAGGUCAAAUCAAGGGGGCAGAGUCCAGGCCCCAGAGUAUAUCAAAGAUACCGAACUUGAUGUUUGGAUGACAAUUUAUGCACUGGGCCAGAUUCAAAAGGAAUCAGAUGGCAGAAGAGAAGAAGCUGUUCCUGAAUCGCUGAGUAUGCGCCUUCGGGCUUCUGUACCUCCUACAAUGAGAAAAGGGCAUGCCUCGGGUGCUGGGGGUCCUUAAUAACGGAUGCUGUCUUUCUGAAACACCGCUCCUUGAAGAUGCCCUGGGAAAUUUAUAAGCUGGUACCCAAGAUGGAGCAGACUAAAUUUAUGACCCUCUGCAGCUUCUUUCGGCCCUGUGCAAUAGCCAUGAACAAAGAAACCCCAUGGAAACCAGAAGAAAUCUCCAUAUGCUGGAAAUCCAAGCAACACACAUAAAAUGCUGGAGGAACUCAGCAGGCCAGGCAGCAUCUAUGGAAAAGAGCAAGCAGUCAACGUUUCAGGCUGAGACCCUUCAUCAAAACCAUGGAAGUUCUUUUGAAGACCCUGACCUGGAGUUAAACACUGACUUCGGUUCUUUGCGGAAAUGGGACCCAUUCACAGAGCCUCGCGACCGGCCGCUUUUCAAUAUGCCAAGGAUGCGGCCUGGAAGACUAACGUGCCUUCAGUGUGCCGUAUUUUCGUGGCCCUGAAGGCGGGCAGGUUCAAAGUUGGUGCCACUAACUGAUGUGUCGUGGGAGUACACGGAAGAUCAUAAGCAGCGAGCUGGCUGCUGGCUGUGUGCCCAGAGACCCGGGUUCUUUGGGCACAGAGCUCGGAAAAAGCAACGCAACAGACUUUUAACACCAUAAAUCAGCGAGUUGUUUUGUUAUGUCUCCCCUCUCGCUGUGAAAUGGGGACACCUCUUUUUCCCUUAUUAAGGAGGGAGAGUGCCUGUGGUAUGUCGAAUUACUGGGUGAAUAAGUACUCUUUGGGGUACUGCAACUCUGUGUCUUUACUGAUGA